rnacentral:rRNA from 1 species
UACAGAGGUGGCAAGCGUUGUUCGGAAUUACUGGGCGUAAAGGGCGCGCAGGCGGCCUUUUAAGUCUGAUGUGAAAGCCCACGGCUCAACCGUGGAAGGUCAUUGGAAACUGAAAGGCUUGAGUACAGAAGAGGAAAGCGGAAUUCCACGUGUAGCGGUGAAAUGCGUAGAGAUGUGGAGGAACACCAGUGGCGAAGGCGGCUUUCUGGUCUGUAACUGACGCUGAGGCGCGAAAGCGUGGGGAGCAAACAGG